AGGAGCCGUGUGCAUUAAUAGUGCAAGCACGGUUCUGUGAGGGGGGGGAGUACAAUCUACCGAAAGGUAGAAAGGCUCCCUUCUACUCGAC
rnacentral:misc_RNA from 1 species